GGGAGAUGGGCAAUAGCAGAACCUAAAUAGCAGCUCUAUGAAAGCAGCACGUUUUGCCAUCCAGUAUCAGGCGGACUCUUUGAUUAUAUUAAGAGAAUAUCACCAUAAUGGUACAGCUACAAAUGGGAAACUAAAAAAGGCCAUGCCACAAGGUAUCAGACUGGUCUGCAGGGUGUUCUCAGGUGCCGUCACUGGAUAAACUAGACCGAGGGACUUUUGAAUUCUUACAUGGCUCACGGGGAACUGACUGGGGAUGCAGUCUCCAAAAAGAACACAAAUAACCUUAAAAUAUGCACAAUGCUCUCUCACACAUGGACUGGAUUGCACAGCAUGCUUCAAAGAUGACAGACCAAGAUUCUGAGAAACUCACCAGACCAGACCUCAAAAAAUCCCUGGCUGCAGAACUGAGCACCAGCAGAGAUGACAGAUUUCAAAUCAACUGAGAUGAAUGGCAUUGCAAGACCUCCUAAUGCUGGCCUAGCGCGUUGAGCUAUCUCAGCCACCAUAAAAACCAACCACCAAUGGAUCCUCUGCAGUGAAUGGAUGCCAUUAGAAUGAGUGUUCAAACAGCUGAUAAAAACAUCCUCAAGUAAUCCACAACUUUAAUUCCAUCAAGUAAAGUUUUGUGAAGUGAAAAGCUGUGUGUUAGUAUGAAACAAAUUAAUAAUUAAGGUGUUUUAACUUUAAACCAUCACUUUCAGUUCAUAAUCCAUAAUUACUCUUCCUCCAGUGAAAAAGUCCAUACCCCGUUGCCCUCUCAAAUCAAAAACCACCAACUUAUUUGGUUAGAUCGGUUUUUGACCAUUUUUGCUUGUAAAAAGUGCUUUUAUCUGUGCAUUUUUGUCUGCUGAGAUGACUUUUUCUCUGGAGAAAGCAAUAUUAUGGAUAGAAGACUUUUUCUAUCCACGUAGUUUAACUGGAAAACAACUGGCCUGUAGGGUGAGCAAAUUAAUAGCAAAUUUCAGUGAACUAAAAAAAACAAAACUUUUUAUUGUAAUGGUGCGUCCCAAUAUGCCUACUAAUACUAUGCCCUUAAAGUAUGUUCUCUUUUGGUGAAGAAGAGUGUGUAGUAGAAGAGUAGGCAAGCUUUGGGACAUUACUAUCACAUCACAGAAUUGUGUCAUUCACGGACCACUCUGCCGCAUAGUUACACGCACCCUGUCACUGUAAACUGGCCUGUCAAUCAUCUUGUCAUGGUUAACAUUCUCCACAUUUCAUUUCAUAUAACUUCCCAAUACAUUGGGAAAAAAAAGUUGCAGCACUUGGUCGCCAGCUGUGGAUCUUUAUGCGGAUAAUUUUUA